UGUUUUCAAUUUGUCCGGGUCCUCGUCGAUUCAUUUUCUAUUCGUGUAAAAACUCCUAUUGUGAUCGAUUUAUUUUUUAUUGUUUUCAACGGUCGACAUGUACUUAAUACUCCAUGAACGUUGCAAUAUAUAAUAAAUAUUAUAACGAACAGUAAAAAUAUUCAUUAACGGUGUCUACGUUAAGCCAUAAAAAUAUUGUCAAGACUUUUUUGUGUAUAAAUAAUCAACAAACAAAUCAAUCGUUUCGUGUGUGGUGGGCUUAGGGAAGACGACUGACGGAAAAAUAUUCUGCGAAGAACAUUUGAGUUUUUCGCGCGCCAGCUCUACACAAAAAACACACAGUCAAAAAUCUUAAACAAAUCACUGCGCCGUAAUGAUCGAUCCAGGAAGACAAUAUUUAUUUUAUUGGACAGCGUCGCACGUACGGUUAUGCGAUGUCGGCGGCUGCAGCCUCGGGCGAGUUCGAGUUUUAUUUUAUUCUCGUCGAAGAGAUUACGUAUUGGUGUUAUAUCGCUCACCGGACCGGGACCAGGUCGCGUCGUGUUUUCACGGUAUUUUGUAUGUGUACCGUACUGCGUACCUAUUAAUACCGCGAUGCUGGAUGUCCGGAAUAUUCAAAUAUUAAGGAGGUUAUUAAAAUAUUGAUUUAGAUAUUUUUUUCUUAAUUUUCAAAAAUUUUCUCGCUGGAAACUUGUAUCAGAAUGUGCAAGAUCAAAUAUGGGUUGUAUAAAUAGGUACUAUAGUAUACAAU